CAAUGAUGUUGGGCAGGGAGCUCCUGGAUUCAGCUCCGGAAGCGAUGAAGGAACAGCAAUAUAUUUCUAAGUCCAAGUCAGCAUGAGGAGCAACUCUGAGGGGAAUCUGCAGGUUGCUCAACAAAGAUGAUGUAGUUUUUGGUCAUUCCUGUCACAGAAAAAUAAAAUGUUACACUAUGGCUGAUCUCCAAAAGGACUAUGUUAGUUGAUUUGUGC